rnacentral:tRNA from 1 species
GCCCCGGUGGUGGAACUGGUAGACGCGCUGGAUUCAAAAUCCAGUGCCGCGAGGCGUGUCGGUUCGAUUCCGACCCGGGGCACCA